GACGAACGCUGGCGGCGUGCUUAACACAUGCAAGUCGAACGGAAAGGCCUGCUUUCCCUUGUGGAUUGCGGGUACUCGAGUGGCGAACGGGUGAGUAACACGUGAGUGAUCUGCCCCCAACUUGGGUAUAAGCCUGGGAAACUGGGUCUAAUUCCCGAUAGGACUGCAGGGUGGUGCCUGUGGUGGAAAACGAUUUUCUAGUGGUUGGGGAUGAGCUCGCGGCCUAUCAGCUUGUUGGUGGGGUAAUGGCCUACCAAGGCGGCGACGGGUAGCCGGCCUGAGAGGGUGGACGGCGACAUUGAGACUGAGAUACGGCCCAGACUCCUACGGGAGGCAGCAGUGGGGAAGAUUGCACAAUGGGCGGAAGCCUGAUGCAGCGACGCCGCGUGGAGGAUGACGGCCUUCGGGUUGUAAGCUCCUUUCGACCGCGAGGAAGCCACCUGGUUGGAAGGGUGGUGACGGUAGUGGUAGAAGAAGCACCGGCUAACUACGUG
rnacentral:rRNA from 1 species